CAGCCGCCACGGGAAUACGUAGGGUGCAAGCGUUAAUCGGAAUUACUGGGCGUAAAGCGUGCGCAGGCGGUUAUAUAAGACAGAUGUGAAAUCCCCGGGCUCAACCUGGGAACUGCAUUUGUGACUGUAUAGCCAGAGUACGGCAGAGGGGGAUGGAAUUCCGCGUGUAGCAGUGAAAUGCGUAGAUAUGCGGAGGAACACCGAUGGCGAAGGCAAUCCCCUGGGCCUGUACUGACGCUUAUGCACGAAAGCGUGGGGAGCAAACAGGAUUAGAUACCCGUGUAGUCCCUGUCUCUUAUAC
rnacentral:rRNA from 1 species